GACGAACGCUGGCGGCGUGCUUAACACAUGCAAGUCGAACGGAAAGGCCCUGCUUUUGUGGGGUGCUCGAGUGGCGAACGGGUGAGUAACACGUGAGUAACCUGCCCUUGACUUUGGGAUAACUUCAGGAAACUGGGGCUAAUACCGGAUAGGAGCUCCUGCUGCAUGGUGGGGGUUGGAAAGUUUCGGCGGUUGGGGCUGGACUCGCGGCUUAUCAGCUUGUUGGUGGGGUAGUGGCUUACCAAGGCUUUGACGGGUAGCCGGCCUGAGAGGGUGACCGGCCACAUUGGGACUGAGGUACGGCCCAGACUCCAACGGGAGGCAGCAGUGGGGAAUAUUGCACAAUGGGCGGAAGCCUGAUGCAGCAACGCCGCGUGCGGGAUGACGGCCUUCGGGUUGUAAACCGCUUUCGCCUGUGACGAAGCGUGAGUGACGGUAAUGGGUAAAGAAGCACCGGCUAACUACGUG
rnacentral:rRNA from 1 species